rnacentral:rRNA from 1 species
CCUGCCCCUGACUCUGGGAUAAGCCUGGGAAACCGGGUCUAAUACCGGAUAUGACACUCCUCCGCAUGGUGUGGGUGUGGAAAGUUUUUUCGGUUGGGGAUGGACUCGCGGCCUAUCAGCUUGUUGGUGGGGUGAUGGCCUACCAAGGCGACGACGGGUAGCCGGCCUGAGAGGGCGACCGGCCACACUGGGACUGAGACACGGCCCAGACUCCUACGGGAGGCAGCAGUGGGGAAUAUUGCGCAAUGGGCGAAAGCCUGACGCAGCGACGCCGCGUGGGGGAUGACGGCCUUCGGGUUGUAAACCUCUUUCAGCAGGGACGAAGUUGACGUGUACCUGUAGAAGAAGCGCCGGCUAACUACGUGCCAGCAGCCGCGGUAAUACGUAGGGCGCGAGCGUUGUCCGGAAUUAUUGGGCGUAAAGAGCUCGUAGGUGGCUUGUUGCGUCUGCCGUGAAAGCCCGUGGCUUAACUACGGGUCUGCGGUGGAUACGGGCAGGCUAGAGGCUGGUAGGGGCAAGCGGAAUUCCUGGUGUAGCGGUGAAAUGCGCAGAUAUCAGGAGGAACACCGGUGGCGAAGGCGGCUUGCUGGGCCAGUUCUGACGCUGAGGAGCGAAAGCGUGGGGAGCGAACAGGAUUAGAUACCCUGGUAGUCCACGCUGUAAACGUUGGGCGCUAGGUGUGGGGGUCU